AAUGGAAUCGACAGGGAAGAUAAUCGGUAAGUAAGCAUGCCGGAGUACGAUAGCUCAUCUCCGUUAACAAACGGCUAUUAACCCUUUUACAUGGCAACUCACAGUUCGCCAUGGCUGCCUAAGAUUAGAUCUUAGAAAGCCUUUGUGCCGUACGCUUGAAGCCUGCUACACAGCGUGCCGCAUAUCAUCAACCCGCGGGCUAGUCGGUCAGGAUGCUUCGACUGACAGGCGAAAUUCAGAAGAUAAGGCGUGAGUAACGGUCGGUGAACGGACCUCCCUCCCGCUCGAAAACCUCAACCGGACACUAAGCAUGUAGAAAGCUUAUUGGUGCUUUCGCUGGACGCGAGUUCGACUCAGA
rnacentral:tmRNA from 1 species